rnacentral:rRNA from 2 species
AGAGUUUGAUUCUGGCUCAGGAUGAACGCUGGCGGCGUGCCUAAUACAUGCAAGUCGAACGCAUAGCGAAAGGUGCUUGCACCUUUCAAGUGAGUGGCGAACGGGUGAGUAACACGUGGACAACCUGCCUCAAGGCUGGGGAUAACAUUUGGAAACAGAUGCUAAUACCGAAUAAAACUUAGUGUCGCAUGACACAAAGUUAAAAGGCGCUUCGGCGUCACCUAGAGAUGGAUCCGCGGUGCAUUAGUUAGUUGGUGGGGUAAAGGCCUACCAAGACAAUGAUGCAUAGCCGAGUUGAGAGACUGAUCGGCCACAUUGGGACUGAGACACGGCCCAAACUCCUACGGGAGGCUGCAGUAGGGAAUCUUCCACAAUGGGCGAAAGCCUGAUGGAGCAACGCCGCGUGUGUGAUGAAGGCUUUCGGGUCGUAAAGCACUGUUGUAUGGGAAGAACAGCUAGAAUAGGAAAUGAUUUUAGUUUGACGGUACCAUACCAGAAAGGGACGGCUAAAUACGUGCCAGCAGCCGCGGUAAUACGUAUGUCCCGAGCGUUAUCCGGAUUUAUUGGGCGUAAAGCGAGCGCAGACGGUUUAUUAAGUCUGAUGUGAAAGCCCGGAGCUCAACUCCGGAAUGGCAUUGGAAACUGGUUAACUUGAGUGCAGUAGAGGUAAGUGGAACUCCAUGUGUAGCGGUG